GUACUCCUCCUCACGGACACACAAACAACCGUCUCCACAAGCACAAACAACAGGGUUUAUUGGAUUGUGUCUGUAUCCAACCGGUAUCAGGUGGGACAACGUGUCAUGGACAACCUCAUAAAAGGCAGAAACUUCCCUGAACGCGGAGCCGAAGCAGGGGAGGUUGGGCUGACCCGGCUGACGUCGGCAGCACCUGAAGCACAACAACUACGGUUUUGUACUGCGUUUCACGGCAAGCCUGGCGACGGCUUCCCCACCACCCUGACACAGGAACAGCAGUGGAUGGGCAGGACCGCGCCGUGGAGCCCAGCGGGGCAGACGGUAGACGGGAGAGGCGCAGAGGUGGGAUGUCCCUCUGAGCGUGGAUGCGAUCUGAUGUCAUGGCCCGGAUAAGCCUGCCUCAGCAA